AGUGAACGCUGGCGGUAGGCCUAACACAUGCAAGUCGAACGGCAGCACAGUAAGAGCUUGCUCUUACGGGUGGCGAGUGGCGGACGGGUGAGGAAUACAUCGGAAUCUGCUUUUUCGUGGGGGAUAACGUAGGGAAACUUACGCUAAUACCGCAUACGACCUACGGGUGAAAGCAUGGGAUCUUCGGACCUUGCGCGAUUGAAUGAGCCGAUGUCGGAUUAGCUAGUUGGCGGGGUAAAGGGCCACCAAGGCGACGAUCCGUAGCUGGUCUGAGAGGAUGAUCAGCCACACUGGAACUGAGACACGGUCCAGACUCCUACGGGAGGCGGCAGUGGGGAAUAUUGGACAAUGGGCGCAAGCCUGAUCCAGCCAUACCGCGUGGGUGAAGAAGGCCUUCGGGUUGUAAAGCCCUUUUGUUGGGAAAGAAAAGCAGCAGGUUAAUACCCCGCUGUUCUGACGGUACCAAAAGAAUAAGCACCGGCUAACUUCGUG
rnacentral:rRNA from 1 species